rnacentral:rRNA from 1 species
GACGAACGCUGGCGGCGUGCCUAAUACAUGCAAGUAGAGCGCUGAAGGAGGAGCUUGCUUCUCUGGAUGAGUUGCGAACGGGUGAGUAACGCGUAGGUAACCUGCCUGGUAGCGGGGGAUAACUAUUGGAAACGAUAGCUAAUACCGCAUAAUAGUAGAUGUUGCAUGACAUUUGCUUAAAAGGUGCAAUUGCAUCACUACCAGAUGGACCUGCGUUGUAUUAGCUAGUUGGUGAGGUAACGGCUCACCAAGGCAACGAUACAUAGCCGACCUGAGAGGGGGAUCGGCCACACUGGGACUGAGACACGGCCCAGACUCCUACGGGAGGCAGCAGUAGGGAAUCUUCGGCAAUGGACGGAAGUCUGACCGAGCAACGCCGCGUGAGUGAAGAAGGUUUUCGGAUCGUAAAGCUCUGUUGUAAGAGAAGAACGAGUGUGAGAGUGGAAAGUUCACACUGUGACGGUAUCUUACCAGAAAGGGACGGCUAACUACGUG